AAUCAACGCUGGCGGCAUGCCUAACACAUGCAAGUCGAACGCGAAAGGGGCUUCGGCCCUGAGUAGAGUGGCGUCCGGGUGAGUAACGCGUGGGUAAUCUACCCUCGGGUGGGGAAUAACCAAUCGAAAGAUUGGCUAAUACCGCAUAGUGCAGCGGCUCGACAUCGAGACAGUUGUUAAAGCAGCAAUGCGCCAGAGGAGGAGCCUGCGUCUGAUAGCUUGUUGGCGGGGUAACGGCCCACCAAGGCUUCGACGGGUAGCUGGUCUGAGAGGACGAUCAGCCACACUGGCACUGCGACACGGGCCAGACUCCUACGGGAGGCAGCAGUAAGGAAUAUUGCGCAAUGGGCGAAAGCCUGACGCAGCGACGCCGC
rnacentral:rRNA from 1 species